GACGAACGCUGGCGGCGUGCCUAAUACAUGCAAGUAGAACGCUGAAGAGAGGAGCUUGCUCUUCUUGGAUGAGUUGCGAACGGGUGAGUAACGCGUAGGUAACCUGCCUUGUAGCGGGGGAUAACUAUUGGAAACGAUAGCUAAUACCGCAUAACAAUGGAUGACACAUGUCAUUUAUUUGAAAGGGGCAAUUGCUCCACUACAAGAUGGACCUGCGUCGGAUUAGCUAGUAGGUGAGGGAAUGGCUCAACUAGGCGAAGAUACAGAGCCGAACUGAGAGGGUGAUCGGCCCAACUGGGAACGGGAACACGGCCAAAACCCUAACGGGAGCAGCAGGAGGGAAUCCUUCGGAAUGGGGGGAAACCCGGACGAGGAAAGGCGGGGGGGUUAAGAAGGGUCUCCGGUCGUAAAGCUCUGUUGAAAGGCAAGAAAGGGUGUGAGAGUGGAAAGUUCACGCUGUGACGGUAGCUAAUCAGAAAGGGACGGCUAACUACGUG
rnacentral:rRNA from 1 species